rnacentral:lncRNA from 1 species
AAAAAAACACUCAGUGGUUGUUAUACGUAGAAAAAUACAUUAAAAUUACAUCACCUAAAUUGAUAUUCAGAACCCCAUCCUCUGUAUCCAACAUAUCUAUAAUUAUUCAGUCUGACUGAUAAUAUUGAUAACUUUUCUACUUUUCUGGUAUUGACAAAGGCUAAAUGACAGUUGCUAUUGAAGUUUAGAGACAGUGUCUAUAAAGGAAGCUUUCUCCACCUUAAUAUUUAUGGGCAAGGAUGUGGUCUUUCAUGGAAAACAUAGAUAUAUAUACACACAUCUUGAUUUGCAUUUACUUAAUAAAGUCAGUUUAGUAACCAAAGCUCAGUAAUUAUUUAAUUUAAUUGAAUUUGGUUUUAUAAGAAGAUAAAGAGAUACAGGGUUAUAUGUUUGGUGAUACUGAUAUAAUUACUGUUGUCCACAGAUGCUUAAGAAAUUAAGAUACUCAUACUUUAACUUGUGAAGAGUUAGACAUUGCGUUUUACUUCAGUUAAUAAGAACAAAAGGCCUUUCAGGAAUACUAGGAAAGCAAGACUGCUUCGUACUUGGGUGUUAUUGAAAGAACAUAGAUGAUGAGAUGGAUUAUAAAAUGUAAGGUGACAUAUUUUUCCAGAUUCUCAUUCAUUUAUACUUUGGAGGUCACCAUUUAAUAUUGAACAUAAGAUGUAUUUCAUUCCUAUGGAAGCAGACAUUAUGAUGUCACUUUAUUUAUUCACCAUGUUCCACAGGACCCUGCUAUGAAUUAUGAAGCCACCACUCAGAAUCGAAACUGUAGAAGAUGUAAGCAUUC